rnacentral:rRNA from 1 species
GACCUGGCCCUAAUCUUGCCCUUAUCCUACCAAGGUAUCCGCCUGAGAACUACGAGCACAAACGCUUGAAACUCUAAGGACUUGGCGGUGCCCCAAACCCACCUAGAGGAGCCUGUUCUACAAUCGAUAACCCACGCUACACCUCACCACUUCUUGCCCACAGCAGCCUACAUACCGCCGUCGCCAGCUCACCUCUCCUGAGAGUUCAACAGUGAGCACAAUAGCUUCUCCCCGCUAAAAAGACAGGUCAAGGUAUAGCUCACGAAGUGGAAGAAAUGGGCUACAUUUUCUAAGAUAGAAAACCACACGGAAGGGGACAUGAAACAGCCCCCGGAAGGCGGAUUUAGCAGUAAACUGAGACAAUCGAGCUCUAUUUAAACUGGCCCUGGAGCACGUACACACCGCCACCAUCACCCUCAUG